UACGGAGGGGGCUAGCGUUGUUCGGAAUUACUGGGCGUAAAGCGCACGUAGGCGGCUUUGUAAGUUAGAGGUGAAAGCCCGGGGCUCAACUCCGGAAUUGCCUUUAAGACUGCAUCGCUAGAAUUGUGGAGAGGUAAGUGGAAUUCCGAAGUGUAGAGGUGAAAUUCGUAGAUAUUCGGAAGAACACCAGUGGCGAAGGCGACUUACUGGACACAUAUUGACGCUGAGGUGCGAAAAGCGUGGGGAGCAAACAGG
rnacentral:rRNA from 1 species